UUCGGUCUGGCGGCGAGUGGCGAACGGGUGAGUAAUACAUCGGAACGUGCCCUGUUGUGGGGGAUAACUAGUCGAAAGAUUAGCUAAUACCGCAUACGACCUGAGGGUGAAAGCGGGGGACCGUAAGGCCUCGCGCAAUAGGAGCGGCCGAUGUCUGAUUAGCUAGUUGGUGGGGUAAAGGCCCACCAAGGCGACGAUCAGUAGCUGGUCUGAGAGGACGAUCAGCCACACUGGGACUGAGACACGGCCCAGACUCCUACGGGAGGCAGCAGUGGGGAAUUUUGGACAAUGGGGGCAACCCUGAUCCAGCAAUGCCGCGUGUGUGAAGAAGGCCUUCGGGUUGUAAAGCACUUUUGUCCGGAAAGAAAUCGCUCUGGCUAAUACCUGGGGUGGAUGACGGUACCGGAAGAAUAAGCACCGGCUAACUACGUGCCAGCAGCCGCGGUAAUACGUAGGGUGCGAGCGUUAAUCGGAAUUACUGGGCGUAAAGCGUGCGCAGGCGGUUUUGUAAGACAGGCGUGAAAUCCCCGGGCUCAACCUGGGAAUUGCGCUUGUGACUGCAAGGUUAGAGUGCGUCAGAGGGGGGUAGAAUUCCACGUGUAGCAGUGAAAUGCGUAGAGAUGUGGAGGAA
rnacentral:rRNA from 1 species